GAUGAAGAACGCAGCGAAAUGCGAUAAGUAAUGUGAAUUGCAGAAUUCAGUGAAUCAUCGAAUCUUUGAACGCACAUUGCGCCCGCUAGUAUUCUGGCGGGCAUGCCUGUCCGAGCGUCAUUUCAACCCUCAAGCCCCCGGGUUUGGUGUUGGGGAUCGGCGAGCCUCCGCGCCCGCCGUCCCCUAAAUCUAGUGGCGGUCUCGCUGUAGCUUCCUCUGCGUAGUAGCACACCUCGCACUGGGAAACAGCGCGGCCACGCCGUUAAACCCCCAACUUCUGAACGUUUGACCUCGGAUCAGGUAGGAAUACCCGCUGAACUUAAGCAUAUCAAUAAGCGGAGGA
rnacentral:misc_RNA from 1 species